AGUCCUCGUGACUCACCAGAUACUAUCACAACAGUUGCAGGUGCCGAUGAUACCAGUGCAGGUGAUGCAACCGAGCUCAGAUGGGAGCUCAACGAAGAUCUUGGUUGUUGCUACAUUUUGUUUCAUGUUGAUCAGUAGUGGAGCCCAGUUGGGACGAUCGGGGAUCUAGCAGUUGGGUUAUCUUCUUUUCUUUUGCCUUCGUCCGUAGUCAGACUAUGUGUGUACUCUGAAUGAUAUAUGAAUUAUAUGUUCAUUGUGUGAAGUGGCGAUUGUAAGCCAACUCUUUAUCCCAUUCUUGUUCAUUACAUGGGAUUGUGUGAAGAUGACCCUUCUUACGACAAAACCACCAUGUGGUUAUGCCUCUAAGUCGUGCUUCGACACGUGGGAGAUAUAGCCGCAUCGUGGGUGUUACACCGGAGCACCCUCUCCAGUGGGUACGCUGAAACAACCUUGAUGGGGUGGCCCUGAAAGUAGUGGUGCAGUUUCCUGGAGGCAACCAGGAGUGCGAGCAAGAGCUUUUGAGGCAUGGGGUAGCGUGCCCAAGCCUCCCUCUGUACUGUGCUGACGAAGUAGAUAGGGUGCUCGACAAGGACUGUGGCGUCAGCGGAAUCUUGUUUUUCACGAGGGCACAGGCCCUCCAUGGCCUCACGAGGCCCGUCCUCAAGAGCCUUGACAGCCACGAGAUCAACCGUGGCCUCAGAAGGGAUGUCGACCACUGCAUUGGCCGAUACUUCAGAUGCCUCGCCCUGGGGAUGUUGCGCCUAGCUGGAUGACUAUCCGUCCUGCUGAGCCUUCUUGAUCAGUCGUUCCCCCUUAACGCCCCCCAGUGCAGUGCUGGCUGAGUGUGGGGUCGCUGCUAGAUAGAGCACCAAAGGCUUGAGAGGGCGUGGUGCCACCAUCACCAGAGGGCUGGUCAAAUAUCUCUUGAGAUCCUAGAAAGUUGCGCCUGCCUCUGGGGUCCACUCAAAUGGCUCCUUCCUCUUCAUCAUCUUGAAAAAUGGGAGGGCGCGCUCCCCCAACUUGGAAAUGAAUCGCCCAAGUGAGGUUACGCAGCCAGUCAGCUUCUGCAUCUCCUUCAGGGUCUGCGGGGGGUUCAUGUCCUCUAUCGCCUUGACCUUUUCUGGGUUAGCCUUGAUCCCUCUGUGCGACACCAAGAAACCCAACAACUUUCCGAAAGGGACCCCAAACACACACUUCUCGGGGUUAAGCCGAAGAUCCACCGUGCGCAGGCUGGCAAACGUCUCCUCCAGAUCUCCGAUCAGGGUUCUAGCCUCCCGAGACUUCACCACUAUAUCAUCAACAUAGGCCUCUGUGUUUCUCCCGAGCUGUGAACCCAGGGUGAUGUGCAUUACGCAUCCCGAACGACAUGCAGGUGUAACAGUACACCCCGCACGGUGUGAGAAAUGUUGUCUUCUCCACAUCCUCCACAGCUAUCUUGAUCUGGUGGUAACUGGAGAAAGCAUCUAGGAAGCACAAUAGGUCGCACUCGGCGGUGGAGUCGACGAUCUGGUUGAUGCGAGGGAGUGGGAAGGGAUCUUGUGGGCAGGCUUUGUUGAGGUUGGUGAAGUCGACACACAUGCGCUCCUUCCCUCCUUUCUUGGGGAUGAUGAUGGGAUUCGCCAGCCACUCUGGGUACCGCACCUCUCUCAUGACCCCUGCGGCUUGUAGCUUACGGGUUUCCUGGACAAUGAAGGCCUACUUCUCAGUGGACUGGCGGUGAGCCUUCUACUUUACUGGUCGCACAUUCGGGCACACCCUCAGGUGAUGCUUGAUUAUCCCCCUUGGGACCCCAGCCAGGUGCUUGGGUUCCCAAGCAAAUACAUCCUUGUUGGCUCGCAGAAAGUUAAUCGAUGCUUCCUCUUGGUCCUGAGGGAGGCCAGCCCCCAUGGUGAAGGAGGCACUAGCCGGCCCAUCCUCGCAGACCGGCACUUGCUUCAUUUCGGCUCGGUCUUGGGAGAACAACUGCUUCUUCUUGGCCGGCGCUACUUCUUGGGCCUCCUGGCCCUUCUUCUCGCCCAGCAGCGCGGACGCGGCCAUCCUGAAGGCGAGCUUGAGGGCCUGCAGCGCGCCUUUGGUGUCCCCCGCCACCGUGAGGACACCGUUACUGUCAGGCAUCUUCAUGAGGUUGUACGCGGGGUGGGUCUUGAUACGUCUCCAAUGUAUCUAUAAUUUUUUAUUGUUCCAUGCUAUUAUAUUACCUGUUUUUGGAUGUUUAUGGGCUUUACUUUACACUUUUAUAUCAUUAAUGGGACUAACCUACUAACCGGAGUCCCAACCCGAAUUGUUAUUUUUUUGCCUAUUUCAGUGUUUCAAAGAAAAGGAAUAUCAAACGGAGUCCAAACGGAAUAAAACCUUCGGGAGCGAUCUUUUUGGAACAAAUGUGACCCAGAGGACUUGGAGUGCAAGUCAAGAAACAAGCGAGGCGGCCACAAGGGUGCCCGGCACGCCCCUAGGGCUGGCCGCGCCCCCCUCCCUCGUGGGCCCCUUGAUCAUCCACCAACGUACUCCUUCCUCCUAUAUAUACCCAUGUACCCCGAAAACAUCAGGGGCGGCCACGAAAAACUAUUUCCACCACCGUAACCUUCUGUAUCCGCGAGAUCCCAUCUUGGAGCCGUUGCCGGCGCUCCGUCGGAGGGGGAAUCCACCAUGGAGGGCCUCUACAUCAACUCCAAAGCCUCUCCGAUGAGUUGUGAGUAGUUUACCAAUGACCUUCGGGUCAUAGUUAUUAGCUAGAUGGCUUCUUCUCUCUCUUUGAUUCUCAAUACAAAGUUCUCCUUCCUCUUCUUGGAGAUCUAUUCGAUGUAACUCUUUUUGUGGUGUGUUUGUCGAGAUCCGAUGAAUUUUGGGUUUAUGAUCAAGUUUAUCUAUGAGAAAUAUUUGAAUCUCCUUUGAAAGCUUUUAUGUGUGAUUAAUUUAUCUUUGCAAGUCUCUUCGAAUUAUCGGUUUGGUUUGGCCUACUAGAUUGAUCUUUCUUGCAAUGGGAGAAGUGCUUAGCUUUGGGUUCAAUCUUGUGGUGUCCUUUCCUAGUGACAGCAAGGGCAGCAAGGCACGUAUUGUAUUGUUGCCAUCGAGGAUAAAAAGAUGGGGUUUAUAUCAUAUUGCAUGAGUUUAUCCCUCUACAUCAUGUCAUCUUUCUUAAAGCGUUACUAUGUUCUUCAUGAACUUAAUACUCUAGAUGCAUGCUGGAUAGCGGUCGAUGUGUGGAGUAAUAGUAGUAGGUGCAGGCAGGAGUCGGUCUACUUGUCACGGACGUGAUGCCUAUAUACAUGAUCAUGCCUAGAUAAUCUCAUAAUUUUUCAUUUUUCUACCAAUUGGUCGGCAGUAAUUUUUGUUACUUCGCAAAUCUUUCCAAACACUUGGGUUUCUUCUUGGGUAGGAUGUGGUCCUCCCUUUUGAGGUAGUGUUACCACUAUUCUCUCUAUAAUUUCAUGCGCAAUACUAGGAUCAAUUUCAAUGAAAUUUCCCUUGGCAAUGCAGUCCAAGAGUUGUCUAUGCGUCAUGUUCAUCCCAACAUAAAAAUUGCAAAGAAGAAUUCUAAAGUUCACCUCUAGGGUGCACUUGCGAUAAGAUUCCAUCAUCUUAUACCAAGCAUCUUUUAAAUUUUCUCCUUGCCUUUGCUUGAAGUGAAGAACUUCAAACUCGGGAGACAUAGGAGCGGAUAAGGAACUAGCCAUAACGACAAGGUAAAUGAUCUAACACACGAGCAAGCAGAAAAAGGCAAGCGAAAGAGAGAGGAAGAAGAAGGCAAGCGGAAAAGAGAGGAGAUUGGGCAAGAGAGGGCGAAUAAAAUGGCAAGGGUGCAGUGGGGGAGAGGAAAAUGAGAGGAAAAUGGCAAAUAAUGUAAAUGCAAGGGAGAUGAGUUUGUGAUGGGUACUUUGCAUGUCUUGACUUGAGCGAAGACCUACCCAGCAACGAUGCCAGAAAUCCUUCUUGCCACGUCUUGAGCUUGCGUUGGUUUUCCUUGAAGAGGAAAGGGUGAUGCAGCAUAGUAGCGUAAGUAUUUCCCUCAGUUUUUGAGAACCAAGGUAUCAAUCGAGUAGGAGGCUCCUCACAAGUCCCAUGAACCUACAUAAACAAACAAAGAACUCGCAACCAACGUGAUAAAGGGGUUGUCAAUCCCUUCACGGCCACUUGCGAAAGUGAGAUCUGAUAGAGAUAAUAUGAUAAGAUAAAUAUAUUUUUGGUAUUUUAUAAUAUAGAUGCAGAAAAUAAAGAUGCAAAUAAAAGUAGAUUGGAAACUUAUAUCAUAAAAGAUAGACCCGGGGGCCAUAGGUUUCACUAGAGGCUUCUCUCAAGAUAGCAUAAGUAUUACGGUGGGUGAACAAAUUACUGUUGAGCAAUUGAUUGAAAAGCGAAUAAUUAUGAGAUUAGGCAUGAUCAUGUAUAUAGGCAUCACGUCCGUGACAAGUAGACCGACUCCUGCCUGCAUCUACUACUAUUACUCCACACAUCGACCGCUAUCCAGCAUGCAUCUAGAGUAUUAAGUUCAUAAGAACAGAGUAACGCAUUAAGAAAGAUGACAUGAUGAGAGGGAUAAACUCAAGCAAUAUGAUAUAAACCCCAUCUUUUGAUCCUCAAUGGCAACAAUACAAUAUGUGCCUUGCAACCCUUUUUGUCGCUGGGUAAGGACACGCAAGAUUGAACCCAAAGCUAAGCACUUCUCCCAUGGCAAGAAAGAUCAAUCUAGUAGGCCAAACCAAAUCGAUAAUUCAAAGAGACUUGCAAAGAUAACUCAAUCAUACAUAAAAGAAUUCAGAGAAGAUUCAAAUAUUAUUCAUAGAUAAACUUGAUCAUAAACCCACAAUUUAUCGGAUCUCGACAAACACACAGCAAAAAGAGAUUACAUCAAAUAGAUCUCCACAAGAGAGGGGGAGAACAUUGUAUUGAGAUCCAAAAAAGAGAGAAGAAGCCAUCUAGCUAAUAACUAUGGACUCGAAGGUCUGUGGUAAACUACUCACAACUCAUCGGAAGGGCUAUGGUGUUGAUGUAGAAGCCCUCCAUGGUGGAUUCCCCCUCCGGCAGAAUGCCGGCGACGGCUCCAAGAUGGGAUCUCGCAGAUACAGAAGGUUACGAUGGUGGAAAUAUUUCUUUGGUGGCUCCCUGGAUGUUUUCGGGGUAUGUAGUCUUAUAUAGGAGGAAGAAGUACGUCGAUGGCCGCCCGAGGGGCCCACAAGACAAGGGGUGCACCCAGGAGGGGUGGGCGCGCCCUCCUAUCUCGUGGCCGCCUCGGCUGCUUCUUGGCUUGCACUCCAAGUCCUCUGGAUCAUGUUCGUUCCAAAAGUUACGCUCCCGAAGGUUUCAUUCCGUUUGGACUCCGUUUGAUAUUCCUUUUCUUAGAAAUACUGAAAUAGACAAAAAAACAGCAAUACGGGCUGGGCCUCCGAUUAGUAGGUUAGUCCCAAAAAUGAUAUAGAUGUGUAAAAUAAAUCCCAUAGACAUCCAAAACAGGUAAUAUAAUAGCAUGCAACAAUCAAAAAUUAUAGAUACGUUGGAGACGUAUCAAGCAUCCCCAAGCUUAAUUCAUGCUCGUCCUCGAGUAGGUAAAUGAUAAAAACAGAAUUUUUGAUGUGGAAUGCUACCUAGCAUAAUUCUCAAUGUAAUUUCUCUUUAUUGUGGCAUGAAUGUUCAGAUCCAAGUGAUUCAAAAUAAAAGUUAAUAUUGACAAAAGAAAUAGUAAUACUUCAAGCAUACUAAUAAAAGCAAUCAUGUCUUCUCAAAAUAACAUGGCUAAAGAAAUUUCAUCCCUACAAAAUCAUAUAGUUAGGCUAUGCUUCAUUUUCGUCACACAAAGAUGUUCCCAACUUCUAUACCCCCGAUGACAAACCAAGCAAUUGUUUCGUACUUAAAUAAUCUCAAACUUUUUCAACCUUCACGCAAUACAUGAGCGUGAGCCAUGGAUAUAGCACUAUGGGUGGAAUAGAAUAAUGAUUGGGGAUUGUGUGGAGAAGACAAAAAGGAGAAAGUCUCGCAUUGAUGAGGAUAAUCAACAGGCUAUGGGAAUGCCCAUCAAUUGAGGUCAACAUGAGGAGUAGGGAUUGCCAUUCAGCGGAUGCACUAGAGCUAUAAAUGAAUGAAAGCUCAACAAAACAAAACUAGGUGGGUGUGCAUCCAACUUGCUUGCUCACGAAGACCUAGGGCAUUUGAGGAAGCCCAUCGUAGGAAUAUACAAGCCAAGUUCUAUAAUGAAAAAUUCCCACUAGUAUAUGAAAGUGACAACCUAUGAGACUCUCUACAUGAAAACAUGGUGCUACUUUGAAGCACAAUAUAUGAUACUCACUACAUGAAGAACAAGGUGCUACUUUGAAGCACAAGUGUGGAAAAAGAGAUAGUAGCAUUGCCCCUUUAUUUUUUUUAUUUUUUUUCCUUUCUUUUUUUCCUUUUUCGUUUUUUUCUUUGGCCUUUCUUUUUUUAUUUUGGCCUUUCUUUUUUUGGGCAAUGCUCUAAUAAUGAUGACCAUCACACUUUUAUUGAUUACAACACAUGAAUUACAACUCGAAACUAGAACAAGAUAUGACUCUAUAUGAAUGCCUCCGGCGGCGUACUGGGAUGGUGCAAUGAAUCAAGAGUGACAUGUAUAAAAAUUAUGCAUGGUGGCUUUGCCACAAAUACGAUGUCAACUACAUGAUCAUGCAAUGGCAAUAUGACAAAAGUAAUGUAUGUCAUGAUGAUGAUGAACGGAGCGGUGGAAAGUUGUCUGGCAAUAUAUCUCGGAAUGGCUAUGGAAAUGCCAUAAAUAGGUAGGUAUGGUGGCUGUUUUGAGGAAGAUAUAAGGAGGUUUAUGUGUAAUAGAGCGUAUCAUAUCACGGGGUUUGGAUGCACCGGCGAAGUUUGCACCAACUCUCAAGGUGAGAAAGGGCAAUGCACGGUACUGAAGAGGCUAGCAAUGAUGGAAAGGUAAAAGUGCGUAUAAUCCAUGGACUCAACAUUAGUCAAAAGAACUCAUAUACUUAUUGAAAAAAUUUAGAAGUCAUCAAAAACCAAGCACUACGCGCAUGCUCCUAGGGGGAUAGAUUGGUAGGAAAAGACCAUCGCUCGUCCCCGACCGCCACUCAUAAGGAUGCACAAGCCAGGUACACUUCAUGCUUCAAAUUUGUUACACAACUUUAACUAUACGUGCAUGCUACGGGACUUCCUAACUUCAACACAAGCAUUUUUAAAUUCAUAAUCACCCAACUAGCAUGACUUUAAUAUCACUACCUCCCUAUCUCAAAACAACUAUCAAGUAUCAAGUUGAUCAUAGCAUCCAAUUCACUUCCUAUGAUUGUUUUUAUUAUACCCAACUUGGAUGCUCAUCAUUCUAGGACCAACUUAUAAUCAUAGAAAAUACCAUGCUGUUCUAAAAGACUCUCAAAAUAAUAUAAGUGAAGCAUGAGAGAUCAACAAUUUCUUCAAAAUUAAUCCACCGUUAUGCUCUAAAAGAUAUAAGUGAAGCACUAGAGCAAAAACUAUCUAGCUCAAAAUAUAUAAGUAAAGCACAUAGAGUAUUCUAAUAAAUUUCAAUCAAGUAGGCCUCUCCCAAAAGGUGUUUUACAGCAAGGAUGAUUGUGGUAAACUAAAAAUCAAAGACUAAUAUAAUACAUGACUCUCCAAGCAAAACAAAUAUCAUGUGGCAAAUAAAAAUAUAGCUCCAAGUAAAGUUACCAAUGAACGAAGACGAAAGAGGGGAUGCCUUCCGGGGGCAUCCCCAAGCUUAGGAUUUUGGAUAUUAUCUUGGGGUGCCUUGGGCAUCCCCAGCUUAGGCUUUUGCCACCCUUUAUUCCAUAGUCCAUCAAAGCUUUACCCAAAACUUGAAAACUUCACAACACAAAAGUCAACAGGAAAUCUCAUAAGCUCCGUUAGUGAAAGAAAACAAAACCACCACAUAAGGUACUGUAAUGAACUCAUUCUUUAUUUAUAUUGGUAUUAAACCUACUGUAUUCCAAGUUCUCUAUGGUUCAUACCCUUACAUACUAGCCAUAGAUGCAUCAAAAUAAGCAAACAACACACAGAAAACAGAAUCUAUCAAAAAAAGAACAGUCUGUAGCAAUCUGUAACUAACGCAACCUUCUGGAACCUUAAAAAUCCUACCAAAAUAGGACGUCCUAAACAAUUUGCUUAUUGAACAACAUCAAAAAUAAUCAAUGCAAAAUCUCGUUUCUGUGAUUUAUUGAUUUUUUUCUCAUGAGCGCAAAGUUUCUGUUUUUCAGCAGAAUCAAAUCAACUCAUAUCAUAGGCUAUCCUAUAGGUUCUACUUGGCACAAACACUAAAUAAAACAUGAAAACACAUCUAAACAGAAAUUAGAUGCAAAAUUUAUUACUAAACAGGAACAAAACAAGAAACACAAAGAAAAUUGGGUUGCCUCCCAACUAGCACUAUCGUUUAAUGCCCCUAGCUAGGCAUAAAAGCAAAGAUAGAUCUAAGUAGUGCCAUCUUUAAUUUUCAGUUUUUUAGCGGAGUCAUGCUCGAAUCCGGGAGGUUCUUUACUUUUCCCUUCAUACUCGGAAAUUUUUAGGUCUAAAGAAUCCAACCGCUUAUUGCAAAGGGCAAUCAACAUAUUCAUGCGGUGAAGAUUUCCGGUAACACUUUUAAGAGGCUCAAGAGAUUUUUGUAAAAAAUUUGUUACUUCGCAAAUCUUUCCAAACACUUGGGUUUCUUCUUGGGUAGGAUGUGGUCCUCCCUUUUGAGGUAGUGUUCCCACUAUUCCCUCUAUAAUUUCAUGCACAAUACUAGGAUCAAUUUCAAUGAAAUUUCCCUUGGCAAUGUAGUCCAAGAGUUGUCUAUGUGUCAUGUUCAGCCCAACAUAAAAAUUGCGAAGAAGAAUUCUAAAGUUCACCUCUAGAGUGCACUUGCGAUAAGAUCCCAUCAUCCUAUACCAAGCAUCUUUUAAAUUUUCUCCUUGCCUUUGCUUGAAGUGAAGAACUUCAAACUCGGGAGACAUAGGAGCGGAUAAGGAACUAGCCAUAACGACAAGGUAAAGAUCUAUAACACGAGCAAACAGAAAAAGGCAAGCGAAAGAGAGAGGAAGAAGAAGUCAAGCCGAAAAGAGAGGAGAUUGGUAAAGAGAGGGCGAAUAAAAUGGCAAGGGUGAAGUGGGGGAGAGCAAAACGAGAGGCAAAUGGUAAAUAAUGUAAAUGCGAGGGAGAUGAGUUUGUGAUGGGUACUUGGUAUGUCUUGACUUGAGCGAAGACCUCCCCGGCAACAGCGCCAGAAAUCCUUCUUGCUACGUCUUGAGCUUGCGUUGGUUUUCCUUGAAGAGGACAAGGUGAUGCAGCAUAGUAGCAUAAGUAUUUCCCUCAGUUUUUGAGAACCAAGGUAUCAAUCCAGUAGGAGGCUCCUCACAAGUCCCACAAACCUACACAAACAAACAAAGAACUCGCAACCAACGCGAUAAAGGGGUUGUCUAUCCCUUCACGGCCACUUGCGAAAGUGAGAUCUGAUAGAGACAAUAUGAUAAGAUAAAUAUAUUUUUGUAUUUUUUAAUAUAGACGCAGAAAAUAAAGAUGCAAAUAAAAGUAGAUUGGAAACUUAUAUGAUAAAAGAUAGACCCGGGGGCCAUAGGUUUCACUAGAGGCUUCUCUCAAGAUAGCAUAAGUAUUACGGUGGGUGAACAAAUUACUGUCGAGCAAUUUAUAUAAAAGCGAAUAAUUAUGAGAUUAUCUAGGCUUGAUCAUGUAUAUAGGCAUCACGUCCGUGACAAGUUGACCGACUCAUUCCUACAUCUACUACUAUUACUCCACACAUCGACCGCUAUCCAGCAUGCAUCUAGAGUAUUAUGUUCAUAAGAACAGAGUAAGCAUUAAGAAAGAUGACAUGAUGUAGAGGGAUAAACUCAAGCAAUAUGAUAUAAACCCCAUCUUUUUAUCCUCGAUGGCAACAAUACAAUAUGUGCCUUGCAACCCUUUCUGUCACUGGGUAAGGACGCCGCAAGAUUGAACCCAAAGCUAAGCACUUCUCCCAUGGCAAGAAGGAUCAAUCUAGUAGGCCAAACCAAAUCGAUAAUUCGAAGAGACUUGCAAAGAUAACUCAAUCAUACAUAAUAGAAUUCAGAGAAGAUUCAAAUAUUAUUCAUAGAUAAACUUGAUCAUGAACCCACAAUUCAUCGGAUCUCGACAAACACACCGCAAAAAGAGAUUACAUCAAAUAGAUCUCCACAAGAGAGGGGGAGAACAUUGUAUUGAGAUCCAGAAAAGAGAGAAGAAGCCAUCUAGCUAAUAAAUAUGGACCCGAAGGUCUGUGGUAAACUACUAACAACUCAUCGGAAGGGCUAUGGUGUUGAUGUAGAAGCCCUCCCUGGUGGAUUCCCCCUCGGCAGAACGCCGACGACGGCUCCAAGAUGGGAUCUCACGGAUACAGAAGGUUACGAUGGUGGAAAUUUUUCUUUGGUGGCUCCCUGGAUGUUUUCGAGGUAUGUAGGCUUAUAUAGGAGGAAGAAGUACGUCGGUGGCCGCCCGAGGGGCCCACGAGACAGGGGGAGCGCCCAGGAGGGGUGGGUGCGCCGUCCUAUCUCGUGGCCGCCUCUCCUGCUUCUUGGCUUGUACUCCAAGUCCUCUGGAUCAUGUUCGUUCCAAAAAUCACGCUCCCAAAGGUUUCAUUCCGUUUGGACUCUGUUUUAUAUUCCUUUUCUUCGAAAUACUAAAAUAGGCAAAAAAAAA
rnacentral:lncRNA from 1 species